GACGAACGCUGGCGGCGUGCCUAAUACAUGCAAGUCGAACGCUUUUUCUUUCACCGGAGCUUGCUCCACCGAAAGAAAAAGAGUGGCGAACGGGUGAGUAACACGUGGGUAACCUGCCCAUCAGACGGGGAUAACACUUGGAAACAGGUGCUAAUACCGUAUAACACUAUUUUCCGCAUGGAAGAAAGUUGAAAGGCGCUUUUGCGUCACAGAUGGAUGGACCCGCGGUGCAUUAGCUAGUUGGUGAGGUAACGGCUCACCAAGGCAACGAUGCAUAGCCGACCUGAGAGGGUGAUCGGCCACACUGGGACUGAGACACGGCCCAGACUCCUACGGGAGGUAGCAGUAGGGAAUCUUCGGCAAUGGACGAAAGUCUGACCGAGCAACGCCGCGUGAGUGAAGAAGGUUUUCGGAUCGUAAAACUCUGUUGUUAGAGAAGAACAAGGAUGAGAGUAAAACGUUCAUCCCUUGACGGUAUCUAACCAGAAAGCCACGGCUAACUACGUGCCAGCAGCCGCCGUAA
rnacentral:rRNA from 1 species